GGGGCUGUAGUCUAGCCUGGUUAGGACCUACGCUUAGGGAGCGUAAAACCACGGUUCAAAUCCGUGCAGCCCCA
rnacentral:tRNA from 1 species